rnacentral:misc_RNA from 1 species
UAAGAAAGGGCUGGUAAAAUUCAAUGAGCCAAGAAGCAGAACCCAAUAAAAUGAAGCUCGAUGAAAGUUGCAAAACUUCCAACAAAUUAGGUAAAUUGAUUCAUUCUAUUUCUAACAAUUGGAAUAUGAAGAUAAAUACAUCUGCUCUUGCCAUUUACAUGAAGACCACAACAAUACGAGGAGCUGAUCAAGAAAAAAGGAGGAAACGGGUAAAAUUUCUCUUUUUCACCAAUUCCUCCAACCCAUUUAACUUAAGCAAGUUAAUGAAUGAAUAAAUACAGCCUGCCAGCCACUCACAAUGAAGGCAUUCAUCCAUGUGGAACCGUGACUGCAGUAUCAUAGCAUCAACUUAUCAAUAGCUUAGCCUUGCGUAUGUGGCCCAUGCUAUUAACUAGAUCUUUUCGAAUGCAAACAGGGAACAUGUUGAUGUUCUUUAACAAUUUCAACCGCCAUAGUACACAUGGGAAACUCAACUGAUCCCUGGAAGUGAAGGGAACAACUUCGUUAAACCAGAGGCACAUGAAUAAAUUAGUCACCGGUGUAUGCUCCCUCAUGAUGACAGAAGCUUCAUUUAAAGCUGCAGAGAUUAAUUACUUCUUAUCAAUAUUAGAUCAUAAAGAUAAGCAUAAUAUGCAUUUGUUUCAAUAUUAAAAGAAAGAACAAUUCACCCUUCUUUCCAUUAAAUCUCGUCUUCAGGCAAGCCACCCUGCCGGUAUUGAGUCAACUGCACCUCAACUUCUUCUGGUGAGGCUUUGUGUUUCUUCACAACAGCUAUAGCCUCCUCAUACACAUUGCUUCGAGCUCCAUGUUGUGAAAUCGCUAAUACAGAAUUUGAACGCCAAAGAAGGGCUUCUAGAACACCAAGAGGGUCCCUCCUAAAUUGGGAUUUUGAGUCUACCCAAAUAGAGAACAUGGCAUGAGGAAAGAGACGAUGCCCCAACAUCUGAUUGCAGCAGGAGUGAAUAUAAAUCCUCAAAAAAAUUCAAAUAGCAGAAUACCCCAAAAAUUGAAAUUUACAGGCAUGCACUGACACAGCGACAAAGAAAAGCAGAUUACAUGAUACCAUCUUAUAGAAUGAAUAACCAAAGAACCAUGUAUGACAGUGACGAACAUAAGAAUCAGUAUCACCUUUCUGUUAUGUAACCAGAUUCUCCAUCACAGAAAGAAUAGAAAUUAGAGAGGAAAUAAAGAGAGAAAGGGGAGAAGGAAUAGAAGAAGAGAGGUGAGAGGAGAA